GAGGGUAUAGCUCAGUUGGUUAGAGCGUCACGUUGACAUCGUGAAAGUCGCAGGUUCGAGUCCCGCUAUCCUCA
rnacentral:tRNA from 1 species